CCUACGGGUGGCAGCAGUGGGGAAUAUUGGGCAAUGGGCGCAAGCCUGACCCAGCAACGCCGCGUGAAGGAAGAAGGCUUUCGGGUUGUAAACUUCUUUUAAGAGGGAAGAGCAGGAGACGGUACCUCUUGAAUAAGCCCCGGCUAACUACGUGCCAGCAGCCGAGGUAAUACGGAGGUGGCAAGCGUUGUCCGGAUUUACUGGGUGUCAAGGGCGUGAAGCCGGGAAGAAAAGUCAGAUGUGAAAUCCCGCGGCUCAACCGCGGAACUGCCUUUGAAACUGUUUGUCUUGAGUACAGGAGAGGUCAGUGGAAUUCCUUGUGUAGCGGUGAAAUGCGUAGAUAUAAGGAAGAACACCAGUGGCGAAGGCGGAUGACUGGACGGCAACUGACGGUGAGGCGCGAAAGCGUGGGGAGCAAACAGGAUUAGAUACCCGUGUAGUC
rnacentral:rRNA from 1 species